ACUCAUAACAUAUACAUCAUAACUAUUAUCGUGUUAUAUUAAUUCAUAACUUAAUUAUAUUCAAUUAUACAAAUACACCAUAUUCUUUCCUAACCGUAUCAUAAAUAACUAUUUAAAUAAGAUAAUUUUUAAUUGACAACCGGUUUAUCCAGUUACCAGAGAAAGAAGAGGGGGGUCAGUCAGCCCCGUCGGCGAUCCACUGUUCUCCACCAUGGGUUUGUGAGCAAAGACCUCCUAGCCGGUGUCUUUUAUCUUCCCGUCGAAUGGAGUCUUUUAUCUUCCCGUCGAAUCGAAUCGAAUAUUUCCGAGAGCUCUUUUCCGUAGCUCAGGAAAUUCAAACAAUUCAUGCAUUUUCUGUGUUGACUAUUGUAGGAAAAUAUUACUAUUCGACCAAUGCUUCAAAUGUUAUUGAGCUACAAUGAAGGAUGUUUUAUUAGCUUUGAAGAACUCUUGAUUUCAGAUGAGUUUUUUUGUUUUUUUUAAUUUAAAUUUUUUACUAAAUGUAUAAUUUAUUACACGUCUUCAACUUUUUAAUAAAUAAUGCUGAAUUUUAAUUUCCAUUGCCCUUCGUUUUGCUUGCAUUAACUUAUGUUCAAUAUUUCAGUUACUUUACACAUUAACAUUUUAUUAUGUGAAUGUGAUGGAAUUUAGUGAACUACUUAAAAGGAUCAUAUAUAAAAAUUUAAAAGAUGGGAGUGAUAGGUAUUGGUAUCAUUGUGAGAGAUUUCAUGAGAAAUGGCAUCAAGCAAUGAGAGAAUUGCAAAUGAAUCUGUUGUGGACAACAUUAAAGUAGUUGGGGCGUACAAAGUUGUGUCUUUUGCCAAUGACUUGAAUUUGUUGCAUACAGGCCAAGGGAUAUUUACUUUUAACCAAACAAAUUUGUUUUAAUGAAGAAAAUUUAUCAUUUAUUGGAAAGCAUACAGGUUGAGGUAUUUACUUUUAAUCACACAAAUUUGUUUUAAUGAAGAAAAUUUCUAAAUCUAUUGGGAAUCAUACAAGGUGAGAGUAGUUACUUUUAACCAUAUAAAUUAGUUGUAAUGAAGAAAAUUUCUCAUCUAUUGUUGAUCUGAUAUUAAAGAUUGGAUGGGAGUUUUAAAUUUGCUUGUAUUCAUGACAAAAUGCUAGGAAAUGAAACUGCCCAUGUAUACUUUGGAUGGAAGAGGUUCCAAUUGAGGUUGUUUCUUGUGUCCGUUCUCAUUUUGUUUGUACUUUAUAAAUAAAAUCAUCUUUCUACAUUUUUAAUUCUUUUAAGCGUUGUUUUUAAAUCGUUACGUUAGUAGGAGACUUCUAUUAUUCCAUACAUUUUCAUGCGUAGAAUUUAUUAGUAAAAUUCCUACCUUAUUUACAUCUCUAAAAUUUCUAACAUAUUCGCAUUUCAUAGAAACCCAAUAAAUAUGUUUUCCACUACAGAAUUGCCUUUGGGU